CAGGCCUAACACAUGCAAGUCGAACGGCAGCACAGUGUGUAGCAAUACACUGGGUGGCGAGUGGCGGACGGGUGAGUAAUGCUUAGGAAUCUGCCCAAUGUGGGGGAUAACCAGUCGAAAGAUUGGCUAAUACCGCAUACGCCUUUACGGGAAAGCGGGGGACCUUCGGGCCUCGCGCCGAUGGAUGAGCCUAAGUCGAUUAGCUAGUUGGUGGGGUAAUGGCCUACCAAGGCUACGAUCCAUAGCGGUCUGAGAGGAUGAUCAGCCACACUGGGACUGAGACACGGCCCAGACUCUACGGGAGGCAGCAGUGGGGAAUAUUGGACAAUGGGCGAAAGCCUGUUCAGCCAUGCCGCGUGAGUGAAGAAGGCCCUAUGGUUGUAAAGCUCUUUCGCGGGGAACAUAAUGACGGUACCCGCACAAUAAGCCCCGGCUACCUCCGGCCAGCAGCCGCGGUAAU
rnacentral:rRNA from 1 species